rnacentral:rRNA from 1 species
AUACUUAGGGUGCAAGCGUUAAUCGGAAUUACUGGGCGUAAAGCGCUCGUAGGCGGAUGAUUAAGUCAGUUGUGAAAGCCCUGGGCUCAACCUAGGAACUGCAUCUGAUACUGGUCGUCUAGAGUUUAAGAGAGGGAAGUGGAAUUCCAGGUGUAGCAGUGAAAUGCGUAGAUAUCUGGAGGAACAUCAGUGGCGAAGGCGACUUCCUGGCUUAAAACUGACGCUGAGGUGCGAAAGCGUGGGUAGCGAACGGGAUUAGAAACCCUAGUAGUCC